GCCUCUGUGGCUCAGUGGUAGAGCGUGUCCUUGGUAAGGACAAGGUCGCGAGUUCAAUUCUCGCCAGAGGCU
rnacentral:tRNA from 1 species